rnacentral:rRNA from 1 species
UACGUAGGGGGCGAGCGUUGUCCGGAUUUAUUGGGCGUAAAGAGCUCGUAGGCGGUUUGGUAAGUUGGAUGUGAAAUCUCCAGGCUCAACUUGGAGGGGUCAUUCGAUACUGCCAUGACUAGAGUUCGGUAGGGGAGUGUGGAAUUCCUGGUGGAGCGGUGAAAUGCGCAGAUAUCAGGAGGAACACCCGUAGCGAAGGCGGCUCUCUAGUACGGUACUGACGCUGAGACGCGAAAGCGUGGGGAGCAAACAGG